ACUUUUAAAGGAAAGCACUUGUCCAAUGGUCUUAGGAUCCAAAUAUCUUGGUGCAAAUCCAAGUAAAAGUAAUG
rnacentral:tRNA from 1 species